GGGCCCGUGGCUCAGUGGUAGAGCACCUGUCUUAUAUGCAGGGGGUCCUGGGUUCAAUCCCCAGCGGGCCCA
rnacentral:tRNA from 1 species